GCAUCUGCUGAGGCCCUAUAUUUCCCUGACAUCCCCAAAUGUAGGGGUGGUCUGGGGACCUGAAGAAGCAGAGGUUACCUGGGGUGACCGCUUCUCCUUCACUUGCUCCAUUAACCCAAACCAUCCUCAGGGAAAUUUCUCUCUCAUCUUCUCUGGCUCCAACAUAACAGAAACCAAGCCAGCAGUCAAUAGCUCAGCUUCCUUUACUUUCCCAACGGCUGCCUUUGAACACCAGGGCAACUACAGCUGUGUGUAUGUGGUUUUACAGUCUACACGCAGAUUCAGUUCUGCUGAGGCAGUACCUAUUCAUCUUGUCAUUAAGGGCUCUUCACAGAUGCUGCUAUACUCACUAUCUGGUGGAAUCCUGCUCCUGGUCCUGCUGGUGUUUCUAGGAGUCUGCCUGGCCCGCAGAAGGAGACAUUGCACUAAACAGCCUCGAGCAUCUGACCAAAACCAAAUGACUGCCCAGCAGUUUAACACACAAGACCAUGAGAAUGAUUUGGACGACUAUGAGAACGUUGACAUCAUGCUCUCAACAAAGCAACUAGAGGUGGACAAACAGUCAAGUAGUGAUGACAAUCACAAUUGUGAGGAAGCAGGCCCUAAUUUAAGUAAAAUCUCCAUUGGUGGA